GGAGGGGUGGUCGAGUGGUUAAUGGCAGCAGACUGUAAAUCUGCCCUCUUGCGAGUUCGCUGGUUCGAAUCCAGCUCCCUCCACCA
rnacentral:tRNA from 1 species